rnacentral:rRNA from 1 species
AUUGAACGCUGGCGGCAUGCCUUACACAUGCAAGUCGAACGGCAGCACGGGGCAACCUGGUGGCGAGUGGCGAACGGGUGAGUAAUGUAUCGGAACGUACCAUUGAGUGGGGGAUAACGUAGCGAAAGUUACGCUAAUACCGCAUAUACCCCGAGGGGGAAAGCAGGGGAUCGCAAGACCUUGUGCUCUUUGAGCGGCCGAUAUCAGAUUAGCUAGUUGGUGGGGUAAAGGCUCACCAAGGCGACGAUCUGUAGCGGGUCUGAGAGGAUGAUCCGCCACCCUGGGACUGAGACACGGCCCAGACUCCUACGGGAGGCAGCAGUGGGGAAUUUUGGACAAUGGGCGCAAGCCUGAUCCAGCCAUGCCGCGUGAGUGAAGAAGGCCUUCGGGUUGUAAAGCUCUUUCGGCCGGGAAGAAAUCGGUUGGGUUAAUACCCCAACUGGAUGACGGUACCGGAAUAAGAAGCACCGGCUAACUACGUGCCAGCAGCCGCCGUAAUAC